CUUGUUCGCACGCGUUGUUGACUUAUCAUCAUCCUUUUAGGAAGUUGCCUGUUUAUAUCGGCUGAGUACAAUCCACAGGGAAAAGCAAAGAAGGAAACUGAACCUACAAUUAUGGCACCCAAUUUCAUUUGCUUGAUCUGCGUAUUUCUUGUCUUGAUGUCAUUUUCAACCGAUUCUGACGCCACCAUCAUUAGUGGUCCAUCGCUUUGCCCCAAAAACGGUUGUGGACGAAGGAGGAGAUCAAAUGCAGGAAGAAAUGAGCGAAUUCUUCUCUCUAAGCGCCGGUUGUGUGACGUCGCCGAACGUAUGGGUUGCCGAACUGUGAUGCGAGACCGAUAGAAUUUAAAGUUGUCGACCAAAGUGUGAACCAUAAAUGUUCAAAGUUUAAAGAAUGCGUUGUAAACUAAACAAAACUCAUUAAAAUCUUGAAUCUGUA